UACGGGGGGAGCAAGCGUUGUUCGGAUUUACUGGGCGUAAAGGGCGUGUAGGCGGCCACCGCAAGUCGGUUGUGAAAUCUCCGGGCUUAACCCGGAAAGGUCAACCGAUACUGCGGGGCUAGAGUGCAGAAGGGGCAACUGGAAUUCUCGGUGUAGCGGUGAAAUGCGUAGAUAUCGAGAGGAACACCAGUGGCGAAGGCGAGUCCCUGGACAACACCUGACACUGAGGCACGAAAGCUAGGGGAGCAAACAGG
rnacentral:rRNA from 1 species